GAAUUCGCCCUUAGAGUUUGAUCCUGGCUCAGGACGAACGCUGGCGGCGCGCCUAACACAUGCAAGUCGAACGAGCGAGAGGAGGUUUACUUCCUCAAGCGAGUGGCGAACGGGUGAGUAACGCGUGAGGAACCUGCCUCAAAGAGGGGGACAACAGUUGGAAACGACUGCUAAUACCGCAUAAGCCCACGACCCGGCAUCGGGUAGAGGGAAAAGGAGCAAUCCGCUUUGAGAUGGCCUCGCGUCCGAUUAGCUAGUUGGUGAGGUAACGGCCCACCAAGGCGACGAUCGGUAGCCGGACUGAGAGGUUGAACGGCCACAUUGGGACUGAGACACGGCCCAGACUCCUACGGGAGGCAGCAGUGGGGAAUAUUGCACAAUAGGGGGAACCCUGAUGCAGCGACGCCGCGUGGAGGAAGAAGGUCUUCGGAUUGUAAACUCCUGUUGUUGAGGAAGAUAAUGACGGUACUCAACAAGGAAGUGACGGCUAACUACGUGCCAGCAGCCGCGGUAAAACGUAGGUCACAAGCGUUGUCCGGAAUUACUGGGUGUAAAGGGAGCGCAGGCGGGAAGACAAGUUGGAAGUGAAAUCCAUGGGCUCAACCCAUGAACUGCUUUCAAAACUGUUUUUCUUGAGUAGUGCAGAGGUAGGCGGAAUUCCCGGUGUAGCGGUGGAAUGCGUAGAUAUCGGGAGGAACACCAGUGGCGAAGGCGGCCUACUGGGCACCAACUGACGCUGAGGCUCGAAAGUGUGGGUAGCAAACAGGAUUAGAUACCCUGGUAGUCCACACCGUAAACGAUGAUUACUAGGUGUUGGAGGAUUGACCCCUUCAGUGCCGUAGUUAACAAAUAAGUAAUCCACCUGGGGAGUACGACCGCAAGGUUGAAACUCAAAGGAAUUGACGGGGGCCCGCACAAGCAGUGGAGUAUGUGGUUUAAUUCGACGCAACGCGAAGAACCUUACCAAGUCUUGACAUCCCUUGACGAUGCUGGAAACAGUAUUUCUCUUCGGAGCAAGGAGACAGGUGGUGCAUGGUUGUCGUCAGCUCGUGUCGUGAGAUGUUGGGUUAAGUCCCGCAACGAGCGCAACCCUUAUGGUCAGUUACUACGCAAGAGGACUCUGGCCAGACUGCCGUUGACAAAACGGAGGAAGGUGGGGAUGACGUCAAAUCAUCAUGCCCUUUAUGACUUGGGCUACACACGUACUACAAUGGCGUUAAACAAAGAGAAGCAAGACCGCGAGGUGGAGCAAAACUCAGAAACAACGUCCCAGUUCGGACUGCAGGCUGCAACUCGCCUGCACGAAGUCGGAAUUGCUAGUAAUCGUGGAUCAGCAUGCCACGGUGAAUACGUUCCCGGGCCUUGCACACACCGCCCGUCA
rnacentral:rRNA from 1 species